UCUUUUCUAGUUAUUUUAUUUGAGAUUUGACCUGCCCAAUGAUAUUAUUAAAUGGCCGCGGUAUUUUGACCGUGCAAAGGUAGCAUAAUCAUUAGUCUAUUAAUUGUGGACUUGUAUGAAUGGUUGGACGAAAUAUUAACUGUCUCAUAUUAAUUAAUGUAAUUUAAAUUUUGAGUUAAAAUGCUUAAAUUUUUUUAUAGGACGAGAAGACCCUAUAGAUCUUUAUUUUUGAAAAUAUUAUUUUAUUUUGGUUAUUUUUUUAUGAUUUUUUUAAUUAUUUUGUUGGGGUGACAUAGAUAUAUAUUUAACUAUUUAUUAUUAUUAUUCAAUUAUUUUUGUUUAUUUGACCUUUUAUUAUUGUUAUAAGAUUAGAUACCUUAGGGAUAACAGCGUAAUUCCUUUUGAGAGUUCAUAUCGACAAUGGAGAUUGCGACCUCGAUGUUGGAUUAAGAUUAUAUUUAGGUGUAGGUGCUUAAAUAUUAAGUCUGUUCGACUUUUAAAUUCUUACAUGAUCUGA
rnacentral:rRNA from 1 species